rnacentral:pre_miRNA from 1 species
UUUUUUAAAUUUCAUCUAUUUAUACUGUUAAAAACUAGUAUGAUUGACAGAAUAAUUAGACAGUGAUAUAUGGUGCCAUGUGAACUCCAUGCUGAUGUCCAAUGAGCAGGUUUUUAUCGUAGAAAUGCAUGAAAUUUUUAACU